CUGGGAAUCACUAUUACCUCCCCAUUUGGCGGCCACUUCAGAGAAAAUACACUUGUUAGAUAAUAAAAACAGAAGCAGCCUGAGUACUUCCUUCCUACGGAGAAGACCAGCUGUGGCUUCCUUCGCUGCCCCUUGCCUCCACCCUGAGCUCCAAUCACAGAGUCCCACAUUUAGAUAAAGAAUCCAUCUGCCAGCUCCGGGCACCUGGAAACCUAAUGUCCGUCCCAGGAGAGUCAGAAGAGCUGACGGCGCCUCGGCUUCAUGACUGCCUGGACACUGCCAGGGAGAGACAAGAGGAGAAAGGAGGACUGCAAGACUCUCCUCCAUUUCCUGCAUCCUACAGGGGAGGCCCAAGGCUGCCCACCCGCCUCACUUGGCCCUGAGGCCAGAAGACAGACAUGCCUUCAAGACAGAGAAACCACAGGACCCGGCCCUCCACGUCGUGCAGGACGGACUCCAGCACUGUCUGACAUGGAGCAGACGGAGUGCACCGAGGAGCUCUAAGGACCUAGUGUCAGAAGGAGAGAACACAGGGUGGGCUCAAGCCUUGGCCACAGUGCAGAGCAAGUGACCAAACCCUUCCUAGCCCGGUCCCCGUGUCCGUCAAGAGGGGAUGUGGCGAGGCCUCCUUCCCAGGAGGCAGUCGUGAGGAUGACUGGAGUGGGGAGCUGUGAAUGCACUCAGUGGGUUCUUCAGCCCACAGAACAAGCCUCCUCCAG
rnacentral:lncRNA from 1 species